rnacentral:rRNA from 1 species
GGGCCGCACGCGCGCUACACUGACGGAGCCAGCGAGUCUAACCUUGAGCGAGAGGUCUUGGUAAUCUUGUGAAACUCCGUCGUGCUGGGGAUAGAGCAUUGUAAUUAUUGCUCUUCAACGAGGAAUUCCUAGUAAGCGCAAGUCAUCAGCUUGCGUUGAUUACGUCCC